CCAGCUCUCAAAAUCCAGUUCUCUGGAAGGACGCUAAAAACACCUACAGAGUGGAAAAAAACAGGAGUUACGGCAUUAUUGGCGGUCCAUGACAAAAACACAGAUGCAGUUAAAGCUGCUGAUUAGGUUAAUAGACUUAAUGAUCCGGUAUUAACCCAAUAGUGGGAGAAGAGGUCGCUUGCAACGUUAUCGAUUGAAAGCCUGGGCGGAUGCUCAUUGCAGGAGAAUCGGACCAGGAGACCUUUAAUAGUCCAUCCCAACUCAAACGAUUCUACGAUUCCAUGACUUUCCUUUCCGUCCAGCAGCUCCGAGCUGUCACUUCGUGCUGUCUUCACCACCGUCCCAGCGGCC
ensembl:lncRNA